UCCGCAGGAGAGCGCCUAGCAAAGACAGCGUAAGCGCAGUACCUUAAUGACACCUGCAGGGCUGAGGGGCUGCCGCCCCUCACCUUGCACAAUUCAUCCAGAGCAUCCCUGAAAGAUCUCUUCCUGCUCCUUUGAAAGCUUCCCCUGUGUCAGCUUCACCUGCAGUGCCCCUUGCAGGUUUGGCUCUCGGGUGUUCCUCAGAAGUCAUCAUUUGGAGUCUCCCCGUUGCUGAGUACCCCUUCAUGAGAACAUGCUAAGAGCGAAUUAAGUGUUACCGAAACAGCUAUCCUAAAGCCAUUGCUGCUUGUUCCCUGUGCCUGUCCGCAUUCAACCCAGAAUGUAUCAGGCCAUUGGAGUGCCAGAGCUCACAAGACAGUAAUGUUUCAUUUGUUUCGUAUCUUUUAGCUCCGUGGGACGCAGAAGAGUGCUGCUACUGACCGAGAAGCUAUCCUCGUCCCCAGGAGUACAUGGUGUAAACGUAGUGAUUCAGGUUAGGCAGCUGUGGUCAGGCCAGUUUGGUUCACACGGAGAACGAGUAUAGAACAAUAAUUUGUUUUGACUCAUUUCUUUUGAGCAAGGAACAGGUGUGAGCACCAUAGAAGGAACAAGCGUGAGCAAAGGAUGUGAAUGUGCAGGGAGGUGCUUGUUUAACUGCAGCAUGGUGCCAGCACUCAACGGUGAGUGAGUUGUGGAGAGGCUGAGGCUGAGCGGCUGGUGAGCGUGAAAGUGGAGAAAAGAGGACGAUAGACUAAAUUGCAUAAGGAUGGAGUCAUGUGAUGCCUUGAAGUCAAAGACAAGGAUUUCAGGCCUAAUGAGUCAAAGGGAAAGGAAUCGGGGAGAAUAAAACAGAAGAGACAUUACGGUUGGGUCAGAACACUAAAUAUAGCAGCCGCAGUGCAAGGAUGGAAGGAUAUGAGUGUCCCAUUCCUGAUGGUCAUUGUUCUCUGCCAGUGAACGGGUGAAAUCCAGCCAGUUACACGCUCUUUUCAGCCUUCCUGCCAUGUAGCUACUUCCUAUCUGUACUUCCAUUCUCUCCAAAUGCAAAGGAGAAGGAAUGGAAAUGUUUUCCCUGUCGGGUGUUUGCUGUGACCGUUUUUCAGGAUUUUGCAUUCGUCCCUGGAACGCUUCUGGAUUGCAGAGGAUAAAGCAAUUUGAGGAGGAAUUCUUCCCAGGAGUUCAAUAAUACGAGCGACAUGAUCUAGACAGAGCGGGGGGAAAACACAUCUAGACACAAAGAUUGUGACACUUCCAUCUGUGAAAUGAAUAAAACUGAUGGGGUCUUA